GGUUGGGGAGGUGGGGGGAAGCGAAGCCCUAAGAUGGGCGGAGAGAAGCAGAUGUGGAGGUGAUGGCGAAGACCCAGAUAUAAGCAGUUGGUGAGUUCCAUGAGGAGACUGCAACUUCUCCACCCUGUGCCCCUCCAGAUCCCUCAUGCUGCUCUGUGUCCUCCAGGGUUGGCCUGUCCAAGUUCAACAGUGGGCUUCCACACCCUCCCACUUCCAGCUGGGUUGGCCAAGGCUAGGUGCCUCCAAUUCCUGGCUUUCCCAGAAGGAAGAGCCCAGUGGAGCCAGCCGUGUCAUGACUCCUGUCGGACCGUGUUACAGACCAUGAUCACCGACCAGUUCUUUAUCCAUGGAUGAGCGGUCACCUUUUAUCUUGUCAGCCAGGAGGGGUAUGGAGGGCUGUCUCCAUUUGACAAACGUUUAUUUUUAUUUCAUUUCAUUUUAUUUUUUUGAGAUGGAGUUUCACUCUUGUUGCCCAGGCUGGAGUGCAA
rnacentral:lncRNA from 1 species